AGCCCAUGAUGUGGACAUCUUCUAAGCAAAUCUUUAAAUCAUUCCCAAGCCUCAUAUAAUGAUUCGCCAACAAAUUGUGCAAAAAAAGUUAUAUCAUUCCUCAACUU
rnacentral:snoRNA from 1 species